rnacentral:rRNA from 1 species
UGGGGAAUAUUGCACAAUGGGCGAAAGCCUGAUGCAGCAACGCCGCGUGAGGGAAGAAGGCCUUCGGGUUGUAAACCUCUAUCGAUGGGGACGAAAAAUGACGGUACCCAAGUAAGAAGCACCGGCCAACUACGUGCCAGCAGCCGCGGUAAUACGUAGGGUGCAAGCGUUAUCCGGAAUUACUGGGUGUAAAGGGUGAGUAGGCGGCCUGUAAAGUCAUGUGUGAAAUGCCUGGGCUUAACCCAGGAACUGCACAAGAAACUUAUAGGCUAGAGUACAGGAGAGGUUGGCGGAAUUCCUAGUGUAGCGGUGAAAUGCGUAGAUAUUAGGAAGAACACCAGUGGCGAAGGCGGCCAACUGGACUGUAACUGACGCUGAAUCACGAAAGCGUGGGGAGCGAACA